rnacentral:rRNA from 1 species
UACGAAGGGGGCUAGCGUUGCUCGGAUUGACUGGGCGUAAAGGGCGCGUAGGCGGUUUGCACAGUCAGACGUGAAAUUCCUGGGCUUAACCUGGGGGCUGCGUUUGAUACGUGCAGGCUUGAGUUCGGAAGAGGGUCGUGGAACUCCCAGUGUAGAGGUGAAAUUCGUAGAUAUUGGGAAGAACACCGGUGGCGAAGGCGGCGACCUGGUCCGAUACUGACGCUGAGGCACGAAAGCGUGGGGAGCAAACAGG